rnacentral:rRNA from 1 species
GAUGAACGCUGGCGGCGUGCCUAACACAUGCAAGUCGAACGUGAGGGGGUAGCAAUAUCCCUGAAAGUGGCGCACGGGUGAGUAAUACGUAGGUGACCUGCCCUGGAGUGGGGGAUAACAGCUAGAAAUGGCUGCUAAUACCGCAUAAUACGAGAAUGCUGGGAAGUAUUCUGGUAAAAACUCUGGUGCUUCAGGAGGGGCCGGCGGCCGAUUAGCUAGUUGGCGGGGUAAGAGCCCACCAAGGCAGUGAUCGGUAGCUGGUCUGAGAGGACGAUCAGCCACACGGGAACUGAGACACGGUCCCGACUCCUACGGGGGGCAGCAGUGAGGAAUAUUGGGCAAUGGGCGGAAGCCUGACCCAGCAGCGCCGCGUGGAGGAAGACGGCCUUCGGGUUGUAAACCUCUUUCAGCAGGGAAGAAGCGAAAGUGACGGUACCUGCAGAAGAAGCACCGGCUAACUACGUGCCAGCCGCCGCUGUAACAC